AACAGAACUCUAAUUCAGCUGGUUUAAAUAAAACCAUUUGCCUACAAAGACUUAAAAGGUCUUUGAAAUGCAUUGCAAUCAACAGAAAGUGUCCUCCAACAGCAGCUGCACAAGCGGACAAAUGACAAAGGAAAGACAAGACAACUAAAUAUAAAGAACUUCUCACUAUUACUGAGCAAAUUCAUAUGAGGGCAAUAGUACAGAUCUAUUUUUUUAAAAAAUCAUUAUUUAUAAAAGCAACAAUUCUUCACUAGAGACUAUUCAUACCUUAAGAACUCGGACAAUGUAAUUGGUUCUCUCACCCAGAGUAAUGCCAUGUAACAAAACGAAAGUGUCAUUGGCAUCGUCAUCCUCAGUUUCUCCUUUUGGUUCUUCAUUAAAUACAAGCUGCCAUCUACUGAUCCAGAGUA